rnacentral:rRNA from 1 species
GACGAACGCUGGCGGCGUGCUUAAUACAUGCAAGUCAACUGAACUUAGGAUGGCAAUAUUUUAAGGGAGGUGGCGCACGGGUGAGUAACACGUAGGUAAUCUGCCUUUAGGUCUGACAUAACCUACCGAAAGGUAGGCUAAAAUCAGAUGAUGCAGCGGCUCGACAUCGAGACAGUUGUUAAAUCUUCGGAGCCUAAAGAUGAGCCUGCGUCUGAUUAGGUAGUUGGCGGUGUAAUGGACCACCAAGCCUGCGAUCAGUAGCUGGUCUGAGAGGAUGAUCAGCCACACUGGAACUGAGACACGGUCCAGACUCCUACGGGAGGCAGCAGUAAGGAAUAUUGCUCAAU